GGGCAGGCCCGGCGCGGCGAAGCCCUGCGAAUCCCGCCAGGGCUGAGAAGCAGCAACGGUAAGGAGGAGUCUUCGGGUGCCGCCGGUCGCCUGUCCGGG
rfam:Chloroflexi bacterium RIFOXYD12_FTLL_57_15 rifoxyd3_full_scaffold_25334_curated, whole genome shotgun sequence.